UUUUCUAGCAUAUAGGGCUCUGCAGGCUUUUUCUUUUAGUGCAUUAACUGCCAUGCUGAAGCUUCCUGAUGCAGUAAUGAACAGACCGAGUUUGGAAAGUCAGCUACUGAGAUGCCAGAGCCAAGGACAUUUUCUUGGACCACAAGCAACAUGUUAUUGAUAUUUAUUGGCAUCAGAUGACAUGAAGACCGCAAUCAAAUGACAGACGAGGAAGCUAAAAGCAGCUGGGAUGUGCUCUGAGCUCCAUGGCAACUCUGGCGUGGCAACCUGAUUAUGAGCCGGUUAGCAUAUGCGCUGGUGCACCCCUCACAGCUGCAGAAGGGAAGAAAGUCACCUUUACAGCCUUUCACAGAUGUGGCAUUUGUGCCUAAGAUGUAGAAUGUCUAAAUAGUAAUAGUCUGAUGAGAGAAAAUGUUCCAUUAAUGUGUUUGUGUGUGUGUGUGUGUGGCACAUUAUUAACA